rnacentral:rRNA from 1 species
GGGUUGUGAGGUUAAGCGACUAAGCGUACACGGUGGAUGCCCUGGCAGUCAGAGGCGAUGAAGGACGUGCUAAUCUGCGAUAAGCGUCGGUAAGGUGAUAUGAACCGUUAUAACCGGCGAUUUCCGAAUGGGGAAACCCAGUGUGAUUCGUCACACUAUCAUUAACUGAAUCCAUAGGUUAAUGAGGCGAACCGGGGGAACUGAAACAUCUAAGUACCCCGAGGAAAAGAAAUCAACCGAGAUUCCCCCAGUAGCGGCGAGCGAACGGGGAGCAGCCCAGAGCCUGAAUCAGUGUGUGUGUUAGUGGAAGCGUCUGGAAAGGCGCGCGAUACAGGGUGACAGCCCCGUACACAAAAAUGCACAUGCUGUGAGCUCGAUGAGUAGGGCGGGACACGUGGUAUCCUGUCUGAAUAUGGGGGGACCAUCCUCCAAGGCUAAAUACUCCUGACUGACCGAUAGUGAACCAGUACCGUGAGGGAAAGGCGAAAAGAACCCCGGCGAGGGGAGUGAAAAAGAACCUGAAACCGUGUACGUACAAGCAGUGGGAGCACAGAGCAAUCUGUGUGACUGCGUACCUUUUGUAUAAUGGGUCAGCGACUUAUAUUCUGUAGCAAGGUUAACCGAAUAGGGGAGCCGAAGGGAAACCGAGUCUUAACUGGGCGUUAAGUUGCAGGGUAUAGACCCGAAACCCGGUGAUCUAGCCAUGGGCAGGUUGAAGGUUGGGUAACACUAACUGGAGGACCGAACCGACUAAUGUUGAAAAAUUAGCGGAUGACUUGUGGCUGGGGGUGAAAGGCCAAUCAAACCGGGAGAUAGCUGGUUCUCCCCGAAAGCUAUUUAGGUAGCGCCUCGUGAAUUCAUCUCCGGGGGUAGAGCACUGUUUCGGCAAGGGGGUCAUCCCGACUUACCAACCCGAUGCAAACUGCGAAUACCGGAGAAUGUUAUCACGGGAGACACACGGCGGGUGCUAACGUCCGUCGUGAAGAGGGAAACAACCCAGACCGCCAGCUAAGGUCCCAAAGUCAUGGUUAAGUGGGAAACGAUGUGGGAAGGCCCAGACAGCCAGGAUGUUGGCUUAGAAGCAGCCAUCAUUUAAAGAAAGCGUAAUAGCUCACUGGUCGAGUCGGCCUGCGCGGAAGAUGUAACGGGGCUAAACCAUGCACCGAAGCUGCGGCAGCGACGCUUAUGCGUUGUUGGGUAGGGGAGCGUUCUGUAAGCCUGUGAAGGUGUGCUGUGAGGCAUGCUGGAGGUAUCAGAAGUGCGAAUGCUGACAUAAGUAACGAUAAAGCGGGUGAAAAGCCCGCUCGCCGGAAGACCAAGGGUUCCUGUCCAACGUUAAUCGGGGCAGGGUGAGUCGACCCCUAAGGCGAGGCCGAAAGGCGUAGUCGAUGGGAAACAGGUUAAUAUUCCUGUACUUGGUGUUACUGCGAAGGGGGGACGGAGAAGGCUAUGUUGGCCGGGCGACGGUUGUCCCGGUUUAAGCGUGUAGGCUGGUUUUCCAGGCAAAUCCGGAAAAUCAAGGCUGAGGCGUGAUGACGAGGCACUACGGUGCUGAAGCAACAAAUGCCCUGCUUCCAGGAAAAGCCUCUAAGCAUCAGGUAACAUCAAAUCGUACCCCAAACCGACACAGGUGGUCAGGUAGAGAAUACCAAGGCGCUUGAGAGAACUCGGGUGAAGGAACUAGGCAAAAUGGUGCCGUAACUUCGGGAGAAGGCACGCUGAUAUGUAGGUGAAGUCCCUCGCGGAUGGAGCUGAAAUCAGUCGAAGAUACCAGCUGGCUGCAACUGUUUAUUAAAAACACAGCACUGUGCAAACACGAAAGUGGACGUAUACGGUGUGACGCCUGCCCGGUGCCGGAAGGUUAAUUGAUGGGGUCAGCGCAAGCGAAGCUCUUGAUCGAAGCCCCGGUAAACGGCGGCCGUAACUAUAACGGUCCUAAGGUAGCGAAAUUCCUUGUCGGGUAAGUUCCGACCUGCACGAAUGGCGUAAUGAUGGCCAGGCUGUCUCCACCCGAGACUCAGUGAAAUUGAACUCGCUGUGAAGAUGCAGUGUACCCGCGGCAAGACGGAAAGACCCCGUGAACCUUUACUAUAGCUUGACACUGAACAUUGAGCCUUGAUGUGUAGGAUAGGUGGGAGGCUUUGAAGUGUGGACGCCAGUCUGCAUGGAGCCGACCUUGAAAUACCACCCUUUAAUGUUUGAUGUUCUAACGUUGACCCGUAAUCCGGGUUGCGGACAGUGUCUGGUGGGUAGUUUGACUGGGGCGGUCUCCUCCUAAAGAGUAACGGAGGAGCACGAAGGUUGGCUAAUCCUGGUCGGACAUCAGGAGGUUAGUGCAAUGGCAUAAGCCAGCUUGACUGCGAGCGUGACGGCGCGAGCAGGUGCGAAAGCAGGUCAUAGUGAUCCGGUGGUUCUGAAUGGAAGGGCCAUCGCUCAACGGAUAAAAGGUACUCCGGGGAUAACAGGCUGAUACCGCCCAAGAGUUCAUAUCGACGGCGGUGUUUGGCACCUCGAUGUCGGCUCAUCACAUCCUGGGGCUGAAGUAGGUCCCAAGGGUAUGGCUGUUCGCCAUUUAAAGUGGUACGCGAGCUGGGUUUAGAACGUCGUGAGACAGUUCGGUCCCUAUCUGCCGUGGGCGCUGGAGAACUGAGGGGGGCUGCUCCUAGUACGAGAGGACCGGAGUGGACGCAUCACUGGUGUUCGGGUUGUCAUGCCAAUGGCACUGCCCGGUAGCUAAAUGCGGAAGAGAUAAGUGCUGAAAGCAUCUAAGCACGAAACUUGCCCCGAGAUGAGUUCUCCCUGACUCCUUGAGAGUCCUGAAGGAACGUUGAAGACGACGACGUUGAUAGGCCGGGUGUGUAAGCGCAGCGAUGCGUUGAGCUAACCGGUACUAAUGAACCGUGAGGCUUAACCUUACAACGCCGAAG